CCCUACGGGGUGCUGUGGCUGUAGACCCUUCCAUCGAUACAAUUUUUGAAAUCGGGGGACAGGAUUCCAAGUACAUUCACAUAGAAAACACUCAUCCCCUGGAUUUCGACAUGAACAAGGUCUGUGCAGCCGGGACCGGCAGCUUCCUUCAUGAGCUGGCCAACAAGAUGAAGAUCAAUAUCGUGAAGGAAUUUCAGGAGAUUGCUCUCGCUUCCUCACGCCCCGUGCACCUGGCUGAGCGCUGCACGGUUUUCAUGGAAUCGGAAUUGGCGGGGGAGC
rnacentral:rRNA from 1 species